GAUCUUCACUACUGCAGUUUUUCCAGUUGGCAUUUGGGGUAAGUCUGGAGAUACCACCCGCUCUAUUGAUUGUAUUUGUGGGAGGUCUGAACUUUGAAUAUUCAAGAUGUAUGAGGAUAACCUUGUUUCCAGAUUAGGUGUCCUUGGGUUGCAUCUAACUACAUUCUACUUAGAAUAGACACAGUGAAACGAAUGAACCUUUGUUAGCCAUGUCUAUUGUCCCCAUGGGUAUCCUCUGAGUAAAACUAGCAUGGGCUUUGAAAACCAUCUCUGGGCAGAGAUUUUAAGUGAAAUCUUCUAGCAAAUAAUUGACAGACUGUAGGCAUUGGUGAACGGAGAAGUCAAGAGAAUCUCUGACUAUGUUCUUAACUCAGUAGUAGAACAUCUACUUUGCAUACAAAAGGCCCUAGUUUCAGCUCCCAACAUCUCCAGGUAGGGCUGAAAUCACCCCCUGGAAAGCCACUGCCAAUCACUGUUUAGACAAUGUAGAAAUGGCUCAAUGAUCUGAUUCAGCAUGUGGCCACUUCCUAUGUUCAUGGAUAGGCUAGUCCUGAUGGCACUAGAGUCCAAGGCAUAUUUUCUCCCUUAAAGAGAUUAGGGAGCAUUGUCACCUAAGGCAAGAGCUCCUUUAGUCUAGAUCACUUGCUUUGCCAGAUGAGCAUACUGUAUGUUCAGUCAAGGAGCAACAAAGGGGGUGAUGGUUUCCCCUAUUCUGAACCUCAAUAUAGGUACACGUUGGCCUCAGCUACUAGGAGAACAGAAAGCUGCCUUAUGCUGAGUCACGUACCACUGACUAGUCUGGAUUAGAAUUGUUAGCCUUGAUUGGCAGUGGUUUGCCAGGGAUCAGAAAGGGGAUAAUCCCAAAUCCAUCAGGAGAUGCUAGAUUGACUAAUGGUUUUUGUUCCUGUUUAUAUGUUCCUGUUUUACAAAAUUUGAUAUCCAGUGUACGUUGGGUGUACACUGAGUGAGACCCACAACAGUUAAAAUAUGUAUUUAUUUACUUACAUUUGAAUUGCAUCAUCAUUCCUCCAAGGAGCUCAAGAUACGUAGUUUUCCUCCUACACAUUUUAUCUUCACAACUCUGUGCAGUAGGUUGGCUUGAGAGGACUUGACUGGCUCAAGGUCACCCAGUAAGAUUGGUGGCUGGUUAGGGAUUUAAAAUCAAGUCUCCAAGACCUUAGUUUGGUGCUUUAACCACUAAGCCACACUGGCUCCAUUUAGAAAUCGAUUUCAGCUUCUAACACAAACAGAACAUUAUAGAUGCCUCCUACAGGGAGGGAAGGCCACCAUAUUGUGAGCUGCUUUGAGUGGAAGACUAAGAAAGAUAUGCUUGUGCUGGACCUUUCUUGAAAGGCUAUUUCUUCAUUUCUCACAGGACUCCAAAUUUGACGGAUAUCAAGAUGUGUUCCCGCAACGAUAGAGGAUGCCGCAACAAACCACAGGACUCCUGCCAACAGCAACCUCCUGUGGUCACCCCACCUCCAUGCAACCCUCCUCAGGUUGUCCCACCACAGUGCCCAAAACAACCUCCCGUAGUCAUCCCACCUCCAUGCAUUCCUCCUGUGGUUGUCCCACCCCCUUGCCAGCAGCAGACGAAGCAAACCCCCCAGUGGCCAGGCCAGCAGAAGUAAAGGAGACAUGUCUCCCAAAGAAGACCUGUUUGGUGUCUGAAGGGCCAACAUGUUCUGUUGAGUCGCCUCUGCCUGAAAGAAUCGGAACUCCCCCCAGAACCUAUUGCAUGUCUUACUCCCUGCAUAAAAAUGUAUCAGAUAUUUUCUCCAUCUGGAAUGGAAAUCCCAGUGCCUUUUAUUCAUCCUGAAAUGUGAU
rnacentral:lncRNA from 1 species